CCCUGCCAAGGGCCUGUCCUCGGCCAGGUAAGGGCGAGCACCUCCCGCAGGGAAGGGCCGCGGCCUCCACGCAGGUCGGAGCCCCCGAGGCUAUGUUUCUGGGGUCCGUGGGCUCGGGGGCUGGGGCGGCGCUCCGGGACCCUCCCCGAAGCCACGCCGGGCAGGGCUGCACCGCCUUCUCGCGGCGAGGGAGGAGCGGGCGGGCCGGAAGCCGCGGCGCCGGGCCUCACCUGCGCCCCACCUGGGCCCGGCCCCGUCCCCGGCCCCGGCCGCGGCGCCGGCCCCGCCGCCUUCGAGGAACGCGCGCGCCGGGGCCGCCGGGCGCAGACGCGGGGCCGGGGCUGCCUGCGGGGCCGCGACCCCGCGCGGCCAGGUGACCGCCUGCCGUCCGCGCGGCGCCCCUGCCCGGGAGCCCGGCGCCGGCGCGGCCUGCACCCUCCGGCCCGCCCCCCUCCCCUGCGCGGCGGCGCCCCGGGCCCCCGCCGCCCCCGCCCCGGCGCCCGGCCCGCCCGCCCCGCCUCGCGUCCCGGGGGAGGGGGCGGCGAGGUCCUGGCGCGCCCCGCCCCUCGGGCCCAGGCGGAGGGGACGGGCGGCCCGGCCGCGCCUCCCCGCCGCCCGCCGCCCACCGCCGCCCCUCGUCCCCGGCCCCGGCCCCGGCGCGGCGGGCGCGCGCGGGAGGGCGGGGCGCGCGGGGCGGGGCGACCCCCCAGGCGCCCCCUCCCCGGACCUACCGGCGGCGGCGGGAGGCGGCGGCCGCGCUCCGGAAGCCGUGCCCGGUGGCUGGGCAUCAUGGGAAUGGCACGGCCGAGUUCCGGGGGAGGCGCGCGGCCCGGCCGGACCCCCGCCCGGCGAGCGCGCGCCCACCUGCCGGCCGCGCUGCGGAGGAGCCGCGGGCGCCGGGCGCCUCCCCCGCGACCCGCGACCCGCGGCCCGCCCUCCGCCCGGGGGCGGCGCCAGCCUCCGGGGACGCGCCGCCCCUCCCCAGACUCGCACGGGGACCCCAGAAAUGCUCCUGCUGCAGUCGGUGAAUUACUUGUUGGCGUGAUGCCUGACUCCCACCCCACCCCCUGCAGGAGGCGGGGACCCUGGGGUCCUGUUGACCGCCCCGUGCCCGGGGCUGGAUCUGCGCCCCUCGCAGAGGGGCGCGCUGAGGGCCUCACCUCCUGUGCCCUCUGAGGUCUUUGUCGGAGGAACAAGAAAAGGCGUCUGUUAUGCUCCUGUGCGAGGUGCCUCUCUGCAAGGCCUCUCCUUCACUCAGCAAAGCAAAAAGCCCUAAACGGCCAACCGGAGGGGACAGUGAAACAAAUGAUGGGGUGCCGUCCUGCAAAGCCUCUUUGGAAAGGAUGAGGUGGGCACGGGAGCAGGUCAGUGUGAAGCCUCAUCCUCAUGUGCUUUCACACGCGGGUGGCGGGCGUGGCAGAUAACCCGCUGCGGGCAGAGCGGAUGUGCAGGUUUGUUUUUUCCUCCUGGACCUUCGAGCAGCCGUUAGCUGCGCGAUUCCCUCUGGGGAGCGGCCUGGGGUGGGGGGCCAGCAAGGAGAUCCUCGUCGUUCCUGCUGGCUUCUUUAUACUCUUUCAGUUUUUAAAUCACGAGCCUUGCUUUCAUAUAUAAAAAAAUUAACUCAUGAACUAUAUAAUGGAAAUGUCUGAACGUUCACGUAUGCAAAUGCAGUCGUGUCCAUACCCUCCCCAGGGCCAGGCCCAGGUCACUGCCGACUCGAUUCAAUGUUUGCGAAUUCUGUUUUUGCAAAACAGUUUUUAAAUGACCUUUCACGGCCUUAUUCAGUUUUGUUUCUUGAGUGUCAGGUUCUCAGAAUUCUCCUGGCACGAACUUUACCCACUUUGUCACUUAGCAUUUCAGGGCACAGCUUGGCUUUAAGGUAGUCUGUUUAUAAGGUGGCAUUCUAAACUGGAGCACAAAAGAAGCCUCUUGAGGUGAAAUUAUUGAGGAGGGCCCAGUGUGCGUCAUGAAUGGAAAAUGAGGACACGUCGCCUCAGAUUUAUUCAAAAAAGAGUGGGAUAUUUUCCAAUGCAAGAUUUAAGGGAAAAAUAAUUUUCUCUGGUUCUUUGCAGAAAAGCAAUUAGACAAAGGCCCUUAUUCUUAUUAAGCAAUUUUGGGAAGUUUGCUCCUGUCCUUGGAGAGCCCAGUGGUACCUGGGGGUGGCACCCGGAGGUGACCGGGACUGGGGGCUCAGGGCUGGGAUGGUGGGGCCCCCCUUCCAAGGUG
rnacentral:lncRNA from 1 species